rnacentral:rRNA from 1 species
AUUGAACGCUGGCGGCAGGCUUAACACAUGCAAGUCGAGCGAGCGGUGGACGGGUGAGUAAUGUAUGGGAAACUGCCUGAUGGAGGGGGAUAACUAAUGGAAACGGUAGCUAAUACGGCAUACCAUCAGAUGUGCCAAGAUGGGAGUAGCUCGUAGGUGGGGUAAUGGCUCACCUAGUAGACGAUCCCUAGCUGGUCUGAGAGGAGGACCAGCCACACUGGAACUGAGACACGGUCCAGACUCCUACGUGAGGCAGCAGUGGGGAAUAUUGCACAAUGGGCGCAAGCCUGAUGCAGCCAUGCCGCGUGUGUGAAGAAGGCCUUCGGGUUGUAAAGCACUUUCAGCGAGGAGGCGUUACUCGCAGAAGAAGCACCGGCUAACUCCGUGCCAGCCGCCGCGGUAAUUC